UAGUAAUUGGCUUCCUUGCUGUCAUCAGGUUAUUCUUCUGAAUCAUUGUCAUCAGUCAUUGGACUGUGGCCAGGCUGGAGCACUGCUACGAAGAAUUGCAGCUGAAGAAAUUGUCUCCAGGACUUUUUUCUGAGGCCUGGUACAUAUUUCACCAGUCUCUUUUGCUAAACUGCUAAGUUACAGGGACGUAAAUGAACCAAAUGUGGUGUGGAACAAACACAGACACAAAAACACACACACACACACAUGUAUUCACACACACAACGGGCUUCUUUCAGUUUCCAUCAGCUAAAUCCACUCACAAGGCUUUGGUCAGCCCAAGGCAAAAUUGAGGUGCCACGUGGCGGGACUGAACCCAGAACCAAGAUUUUGAGAAGCAAGCUUCUUACCACACAGCCACACCUCUCCCUUUAUAUUUAGCAAAUUGUUCUUGCUUUUUUCCUUUUUGUUUGAAUUUCAGAAAUUAUAUUUUAUUUUCUUUCAGUCGGUGAGAUCAUCACCAAGAAAAUUUGAAGAAUAUAUUAAAUAAUGAAUAAUUUUUAAAUAAAAUAUUCAAUAAUUUCUCAUUAUAUUUUUCAGCUUAAUAAAGAAAUGUAAGAAUAAAAGAGUUUUGAAAAAAAGA